GAAGAUCCUGCCCUAAGGAGCAAGUGUGCGGAGGCCACCUGGCCUUCAGAGAUGGCAGAAGGACUGAGGACCUGGGGAGGAGAGAGGAGGAAACCGGAGGACUGUGAACGUGGCCACAUCUUUUCCAAUGGAGAGAAAACUCCAUCGGAUCUGGGCACUCCCUACAUUUCUCCACCUCCUGCUGCCCCCGUGAGCCACUGCAGGGAGAUUUUUCUGAAUAAUGGAACAUUUUCCUGUUUUAAUCAGAUGCAAUUUUGCAAGCAGUUUUUAUGAUUUAGCAAGUCCAUUAAAACUGGCAUUUGUUCUGCUCUGACACUCGAAAGGGGCUCCACAGAGCAUAAACAUUGGAAAUUACUUGUAGGGAGAGACAAUAUUAAAAUUCCCCAGCCUGGGCCUGUUGUCUGAGAAAUUCUGUUAUCAAGCAUCAUGCCAGCUACGAUCAGAGGUGCUUGAGAUACAUGCUGCUUCCUCUUUACGCACUAACUGGGGACCUGGGAACUCAGGCAGCAAUAAAGUCG
rnacentral:lncRNA from 1 species